rnacentral:rRNA from 1 species
UACGUAGGGUGCGAGCGUUGUCCGGAAUUAUUGGGCGUAAAGAGCUCGUAGGCGGUCUGUCGCGUCGGCUGUGAAAUCCCGAGGCUCAACCUCGGGUCUGCAGUCGAUACGGGCAAACUAGAGUAUUGCAGGGGAGACUGGAAUUCCUGGUGUAGCGGUGAAAUGCGCAGAUAUCAGGAGGAACACCGGUGGCGAAGGCGGCUCACUGGACCGGAACUGACGCUGAGGCGCGAAAGCGUGGGGAGCAAACAGG